UACGGAAGGCAGCAGUGGGGAAUAUUGCACAAUGGGCGCAAGCCUGAUGCAGCCAUGCCGCGUGUAUGAAGAAGGCCUUCGGGUUGUAAAGUACUUUCAGUCGUGAGGAAGGUGUUAAGGUUAAUAACCUUAGCAAUUGACGUUAGCGACAGAAGAAGCACCGGCUAACUCCGUGCCAGCAGCCGCGGUAAUACGGAGGGUGCGAGCGUUAAUCGGAAUUACUGGGCGUAAAGGGCACGCAGGCGGUUAAUUAAGUUGGAUGUGAAAUCCCCGGGCUUAACCUGGGAAUGGCAUUCAAGCUGGUUAGCUAGAGUCUUGUAGAGGGGGUAGAAUUCCAUGUGUAGCGGUGAAAUGCGUAGAGAUGUGGAGGAAUACCGGUGGCGAAGGCGGCCCCUGGGACAAAGGCUGACGCUCAUGUGCGAAAGCGUGGGGAGCGAAACAGGGAUUAGAUACC
rnacentral:rRNA from 1 species